AUAUUGGACAAUGGGGGCAACCCUGAUCCAGCCAUGCCGCGUGUUUGAAGAAGGUCUUCGGAUUGUAAAGCACUUUAAGUUGGGAGGAAGGGCUUUAGGUUAAUACCCUGAAGUUUUGACGUUCCCAACAGAAUAAGCACCGGCCAACUCUGUUCCAGCAGCCGCGGUAAUACAGAGGGUGCAAGCGUUAAUCGGAAUUACUGGGCGUAAAGCGCGCGUGAGUGGUUCAGUAAGAUGGGUGUGAACUCCCCGGGCUUAACCUGGAAACUGCUUUCAUAACUGCUGGGCUAGAGAAGGGUAGAGGGUAGUGGAAUUUCCUGUGUAGCGGUGAAAUGCGUAGAUAUAGGAAUGAACACCAGGGGCGAAGGCGACUACCUGGACUGAUACUGACACUGAGGUGCGAAAGCGUGGGGAGCAAAC
rnacentral:rRNA from 1 species